GUUUGCUAGGUUUUUUGUGUGGGGCCUCUUCUCCUGCGUUUCCAACUUUGUUGGGUGAGCUUAUGUGGUUUUAUUUUGCUGGAAAUAGAAAGUGGUUUCACUUCUGGAGAUUCUUGUCUUUGUAGCUUCUGACAAGGCUGAGGUGUAUGCAUUGUGGCAUUAAAUAUGAGAAGAAAGUGACCAUUUGUACAUGAAGGGGUCGCAUCACAUGCUGAUGCUAAAGAUUUUGGUCUACGUUGAUGUGUUUACUACUUUCUAGCAAAUCUUGACUUGGAGUCAGUUGGAGUCAUAUAUGUACCACCUCUCUUGGUUCCCUCUCCCUCAUUCUCUCUAGUUGUCUACAGUUCUAUGUUUAAGUCAGUCGCCAAAUGUUUGGUGUUUGGCUGUUGUUAUUCAAGAACUAAAUUAUUUAUACAUUGAAGCGAAAGAAUGCAGCGUAUUAUUU